rnacentral:rRNA from 1 species
GGGGAUUCUUCCACAAUGGGGGCAACCCUGAUGGAGCAACGCCGCGGGAAGGAUGAAGGCCCCCGGUUGGUAACCUUCUUUUAUGAGGGAAAAAUAGGACGGUAACUAUUGAAUAAGCACCGGUUAACUCCGUGCCAGCAGCCGCGGUCAUACGUAGGGUGCAAGCAUUAUCCGGAGUGACUGGGCGUAAAGAGUUGCGUAGGCGGUUAGUAUAGCGAAUAGUGAAACCUGGUGGCUCAACCAUACAGACUAUUAUUCGAACUCACUAACUCGAGAAUGGUAGAGGUAACUGGAAUUUCUAGUGUAGGAGUGAAAUCCGUAGAUAUUAGAAGGAACACCAAUGGCGUAGGCAGGUUACUGGACCAUUUCUGACGCUAAGGCACGAAAGCGUGGGGAGCGAACC